rnacentral:lncRNA from 1 species
UGGGGACGAAGGCUCUGACAGGCGGGCCCCGCCUGUCAGCCUCGGGCGUGUGCGCGUUCGGGCCGGGCUGCGGCCGGGCCGGUCCGUUUCUCUUCUUUUUUUCUUGCUCCUUUGUUUUCCUUUUUUCCUUUCCCUGAUUUCUUUUAUAACUUUUGAUUUUGAACUCCAAAUCAAUUCAAAUAAAUUUCAGAAAAUUGGUAAAAUCAUAUUAUAAUAUGAUUCAACUUUUGGAACUAAUUUCCCCUCAAAAUAAAAUAGUUAAAAAUCGUUUUGCUUAUAAAUUGCCUUUAGGGCUUUAUAACUAAUAUAAAAAAUAGUUUUUCAACUCCAAAUUAAAUAACAAGAAUAUGGGGUAGCUCAUUUGUGCAAUAAACCCCUUUUAUGAACAACACCCUAUUGGUUUAAAAUCCAAAACUCAAUUGGGUAAAAAGGCCAAGGUUUAAAAUGAAAUAAAAUCUUUUCAAAACCUUUUUGGAAUUCAAAACAAGAUUCAAAAUGCAAUUGUGGCAU